rnacentral:tRNA from 1 species
AAAGAUUUAGUUUAAAAAAAACAUUAAGUUGUCAACUUAAAAUUAGGUAAUAAUCUUUU